rnacentral:rRNA from 1 species
GGUCCCACCUGAUCCCAUGCCGAACUCAGAAGUGAAACGCCGUAGCGCCGAUGGUAGUGUGGGGUCUCCCCAUGUGAGAGUAGGGAACUGCCAAGC